UAAAACUUCUCGAAAUCAAAUUUCAUAAUUUUUCGACAUCAUUUACCUUACGAUCAAAAGCUCACAAAAUUGACAACUUUUAACGGCCGGUAUAGGAUACUUGCUAGUUUAACGGUGGAAAAGAAUCAGAAUAAGUUGAAUUUUUGAUAGAAAAUUUUAUUCACUACCUAAAUAAAGAUCAAUAACUCCGAUCUUAAAUUGAAGGAUCCGAUCAUCCAUUUUUAGGACAUCAUUCGAUUUUGACCGUUCAUUUUAUGCCCACUUGAUGGACUUUAUUAUGAUUUCGAAAAUUACGAAAUUUACUUUCUAGAAGUUUCAAAUACUCUAGAUCAUGUUUAACGGUGUGGAUCGUCGAUUCGGAAGCCCCAACAUCGAAAACAACUUAUGAGUACGAAGGGCUCUAUACUCAUAAGAGUAUAGUAGCCCUACUCUAUAUAUAUAUAUAUAUAUAUAUAUAUAUAUAUAGAGUCCGGCUACUAUACUAUUAUAAGUACGAUCGCCCUCGUACUCAUAAGUUAUUUUUGAUGAUAGAGCUUCCGAAUCGACGAUCCACACUGUUAAACGUUAUCUAGAGCAUUUGAAACAUUUAGAAAUCAAAUUUCAUAAUUUUUCGACAUCAUUUACCUUACGAUCAAAAGCUCACAAAAUUGACAAUUUUUAACGGCCGGUAUAGAAUACUUGCUAGUUUAACGGUGCAAAAGAAUCCGAAUAGGUUGAAUUUUUGAUAGAAAAUUCUAUUCACUGCCUAGAUAAAGAUCAAUAACUCCGAUCUUAAAUUGAAGGAUCCGAUCAUCCAUUUUUAAGACAUCGUUCGAUUUUGACCGUUCAUUUUAUGCCUGCUUGAUGGACUUUUAUUAUGAUUUCGAAAAUUAUGAAUUUUAUUUUCUAGAAGUUUCAAAUACUCUAGAUCAUAUUUAACGGAGUGGAUCGUCGA
rnacentral:lncRNA from 1 species